rnacentral:snRNA from 1 species
GGAUGAUCUGGCUGAAACAUCUGUAACUCCAUUGAUUUCCAGGGUUGUUAUGGCUGAUUUGACUGGCUAGGUGGGUGUGCUCAUAAACUACAGUGCUGGGUCUUAGAGGAUAACCUUUCAGACUAGUGAAGGACCAGUCUGCAUUCAAGCGUACACAAGUACUGGCACUCUCCAGCUAGACCCUCCAAACAAGCUCUGAAGAAGAGAUAAGGAAAAACUAUGAAAAUAAAAUCCCAUACGCAGAAAGCAAGACUUAUUGGGAAGAUUUAGUUCAAUGUCUUGUCCACUAAGUGUCUUUACU